rnacentral:rRNA from 1 species
CGACGUCGCGAGAAGUUCACUGAAACCUUAUCAUUUAGAGGAAGGAGAAGUCGUAACAAGGUUUCCGUAGGUGAACCUGCGGAAGGAUCAUUG